rnacentral:rRNA from 1 species
UGCAUGUCUAAGUACAUGCCGUAUUAAGGCGAAACCGCGAAUGGCUCAUUAAAUCAGUUAUGGUUCCUUGGAUCGUACCUUACUACUUGGAUAACUGUGGCAAUUCUAGAGCUAAUACAUGCAGCAGAGCUCCGACCCUCAGGGGACGAGCGCUUUUAUUAGACCAAAACCAAUCGGACCUCGUGUCCGUCUCUUGUGGUGACUCUGUAUAACUUUGGGCUGAUCGCACGGGCCCGUCCCGGCGACGUAUCUUUCAAGUGUCUGCCUUAUCAACUUUCGAUGGUAGGUUACGCGCCUACCAUGGUCGUAACGGGUAACGGGGAAUCAGGGUUCGAUUCCGGAGAGGGAGCCUGAGAAACGGCUACCACAUCCAAGGAAGGCAGCAGGCGCGCAAAUUACCCACUCCCAGAACGGGGAGGUAGUGACGAAAAAUAACAAUACGGGACUCUUUUGAGACCCCGUAAUUGGAAUGAGUACACUUUAAAUCCUUUAACGAGGAUCCAUUAGAGGGCAAGUCUGGUGCCAGCAGCCGCGGUAAUUCCAGCUCUAAUAGCGUAUAUUAAAGUUGUUGCGGUUAAAAAGCUCGUAGUUGGAUCUCAGUUCCAGACGGGUGGUCCUCCUUACGGUGGCUACUGCCUGUUCUGAACAGCCAGCCGGUUUCUCUUGAUGAUCUUCACCGGUUGUCUUGGGUGACCGGCAAGUUUACUUUGAAAAAAUUAGAGUGCUCAAAGCAGGCGUGACGCCUGAAUAAUGGUGCAUGGAAUAAUGGAAUAGGACCUCGGUUCUAUUUUGUUGGUUUUCGGAACACGAGGUAAUGAUUAAGAGGGACAGACGGGGGCAUUCGUAUUGCGACGCUAGAGGUGAAAUUCUUGGACCGUCGCAAGACGAACUACUGCGA